GAGAACUGAUAUUCCGACAGGUGGAAUGAAGGAGUAACGCCCGGAAACGCCUGCCUUGAUACUCCGACGUGCAAAACGGCGUGUAAUAGCUGUGUUGUACGAAGCUCGGUGAAGUCGGCAGAGAGCAACCGUAAGCAGAUUAUAUAUUCUAUCUGCACGAAAGCUGUUCAGAGGUGAAUGGUGUUGCCUAUAUGCCGGAGGUCAACAAA
rnacentral:ncRNA from 1 species